AAGAUGUCCUUGGAGAUCAAAGUCCACUAGUUAUGAACAGAGCAGGUAGCAGUGCAAGAUUCCCUCGUUUCCUGCUCCACCAACAUGCCUCAACUCUGAUCUGGAGAGACCAAUUCUGUGGGCAAACGGAGAGUUCUGCUAACCCAUCUACUCUUGGCCUAU
rnacentral:sRNA from 1 species